UCAUAUGCUUGUCUCAAAGAUUAAGCCAUGCAUGUCUAAGUACUAGCCACUUGACGGUGAAACCGCGAAUGGCUCAUUAAAUCAGUUAUGGUUCCUUAGAUCGUACCAUCCUACUUGGAUAACUGUGGUAAUUCUAGAGCUAAUACAUGCCGAUCAGCUCUGACCUUCGGGGACGAGCGCAUUUAUUAGAACAAGACCAAUACGGGCCCUCGCGGUCCGUUCCCAUUUGGUGACUCUGAAUAACCUUGAGCCGAUCGCACGGUCUCGCACCGGCGACGCAUCUUUCAAAUGUCUGCCUUAUCAACUGUCGACGGUAGGUUAUGGGCCUACCAUGGUAGUAACGGGUAACGGGGAAUCAGGGUUCGAUUCCGGAGAGGGAGCCUGAGAAACGGCUACCACAUCCAAGGAAGGCAGCAGGCACGCAAAUUACCCACUCCCGGCACGGGGAGGUAGUGACGAAAAAUAACAAUGCGGGACUCUUCCGAGGCCCCGUAAUUGGAAUGAGUACACUUUAAAUCCUUUAACGAGGACCUAUUGGAGGGCAAGUCUGGUG
rnacentral:rRNA from 1 species